rnacentral:rRNA from 1 species
AUUAGAGUUUGCUCUGGUCUCACAUAGUGCGCUGGGGGCGCGCUUUCACAUGCGCGUCGCGCGCGAGCACACGGGAGCUUGCGCCCUGUGUGACACGAGCCGGACAGGUGAGUAAUGUCUGGGAAACUGCUCUGAUGGAGGGGGAUAACUACUGCAGACGGUAGCUAAUACCGCAUAACGUCGCCAGACCAAAGAGGGGGACCUUCGGCCCUCUUGCCGUCAGAUGUGCCCAGAUGAUAUUAUCUAGUAGGUGGGGUAAUGGCUCACCUACGCGACGAUCCCUAGCUGGUCUGAGAGGAUGACCAGCCACUCUGGAACUGACUACACCUCCAGACUCCUACCGGAGGCAGCCAUGGGGAAUAUUGCACACUGGGCGCACGCCAUGUGCACCCAUGCCGCGUGUGUGAGUAAAGCCAUCCGUUUGGAAAGCUAUUUACCCCCACCAAGAAAGGAGCGAGCUUAAUAUCCUUCACCAUUGACUUUUCUCUACUAAAAAACCACGCGUAAGUUCGUUUCCAUCGCCUCCGAGAACUACCGAGGGGGUGGGCGUUAUUCUGUAAUUAUCUGUGUCUUGUAGCGCCUGCAUGACGCUUUGCUAAUUCAUAAUGUGAAAUUGUCAGGUUCCCCACGGGGACAGCUUUUGUAAACUGCUAAGCUAGCAUGCUUAGCCACGGGGGUAGAAUUCCUAGCCGUUACCGGUCAAAUGGUUAAUAUAUCAUGUCCAAUAAACU